rnacentral:lncRNA from 1 species
AUCAUUAACAAGCUCGCAUGACAAAUACACGGAGUAAAUCGUUGAAAUAAGGAAAACAAAAAAGGGAAAAUGCAUAAACUAAAAUAUGCUUUUUAAUAGUUUAUUUAUACUAGUAUAACGCAAACUCGUGCAGAUUAAAUUGGUGUAUUUUUCAUCCUUCAAAAGACUCAUUUGGUGAAUAUUUUGCCUCUAAUUUUCCCAUAUUUCCUCAUCAUCUGUGUCUCUUUCUCACGCUCUCUCUCCCUGCCUCUCCACACACGCAUGCGUCAAGCAGCGGGCUGUAGCUUCUAACAAGACGAUUUCCAUCAUAUCUUCCUUUACAAACCCUGAAAUUAUUGCUAAAAUGCCCGUUUUGGAGGAAAAAUUCCCCUCACCCCGACCUCACAGAACAAUGUAGCCCACAGCUGAGGACGCCCCCGACUUUUUCUCUCUUUUUUUUCUGAGCGCCGAUCGGAAGCCUGCAAAGAGAAAAAGCUUCUCCAAUCCUCCACAUCGGCAGACUGUGAUGUACAUCAUCUUCCAUGAGGUAGUAUACAGUCUGCAUGCUCGGGUUGUUUAUUUCAGCGCAUUUUGAAGUUUGAAAUUGUGUCAGGCUAUCUGUCAGUGAGCAGCGUGCAUGCAAUUUGACAUGUAGGCAGCUCUGAACCUACAGCAGCUUAUAGGCUUCAUUCAGAGAUCAAUGAAUGAGAUAAGAGGAAAUUAUUUUAGGGGCUGAGCCGCCCCUGCUCACAAGGGAGAGGUCGACUAUGUUUCUUAUUCAAAAUGGGAUUGUCUAAUAAAUGCACGUCUCAAAGUUCCCUCGACAAUUUAGCGGGGUAAUGAGAAACGCAAUAGGUUUUAAAUCGUGGAGGAUGGGGGGUGAUUAUUUCCCAUAGACAGUUUGUCUUUAAUUUCCCCAACAAAAAAUGUCGGUGCAUUUUAAAAUGUCCAACUGAUAAGACAAAAUCACCAAAUUGAAGUUAAAACGAAAUAAAGUGGCCUACACUUGGACGGGCGUCACCGAUUUCGGAACAUUUCUCUCCACCUACAAAAAAAAUGUAACUUUUAAAACGCGAAAUAUGUCUAUAAGAAAAAAAAGAAGGAUUUUCAUAUUAAAUAAUGAUUAAAUUUUAACUAUCUUGGAUCUUAUUUUUGUUCGUAAAAAGCUGUCAGAGUGAAAACAAACAGUUGUUGGUACGUUAUGAAAGGAACAACUAGUGUGAGUUUAUUUGAACCAAUUAGAGUGUAAAUUACGCACAAACAACAACUCAAAGUCACAAACAGAGGCAUGUUUUUGAACUCCUAAGACCCCCGCCCCACCCAGAACCACACACACACACACACACACACACACACACACACACACACACACACACACACACACACACACAAAACCAGGAUUAUCUAAGGACACAUGUCCAUCCAUCUCGCCUUAAAAAGUGAAUGGGGAGCGGGCCGACACACACAGAGCCUAUUAGCCAACUUGGGCUCCUGUGGAGAGCACCGAGGUAAGCUCCCCCACCGGAACUGUCCAUGGUGCUGAAGCGCUAAGAGGUUUUCUUUACUGCUCAUUGCGUCCUGCUUCAAAAACUCUUAAAAGCUAGGGUUGACAUUUCAAUGCCUUUUAUUGUAUUUCCAUCCUAUUUAGUAAUGGUUCUCUGAGAAAAAAUGAAAUAUUAGAAACUGAGACAACUCACACUGGCUACAACUUUCCCAACUUUUUCUUUUUUACAGCGCAAGGUUUUUAAGCUCCCUUUUCCCCAGUGUGGGAGAACUUCUCUUCAAGUAUUGCUGGAACUAACAUGGCGCCAUAGAUGAUCAUAAACACUGUUAAAUGAUGCAAAACAUGGCCAUCUGUCCCUAAAAAUAUGAAAAAGAAAUCCCAGUCAGUUCAGUAUCUAUCGAAACAAACCUUCGGUGGUCAGAAGUUGAGUUGUAGUUGGGUUGAUAGAUAAAUCAACUUACUUUAAAGUUCCUGAAAGGACCUUUUAUCUGGUAACAAAAUUGUCAAAAAUUAAUAUUUAUGCAAGUGUGUGCACCACAAAAGCAACCAUGAUCAUCAGUAACAAAAGUGGUUGUGUUGAGACCCACAUUUUUAUUGUCUGAAGUUGCUAAUGGGGUAGGUGUCAUUACAGCGAGCUAUCAAAGAGCCUCUUCAAAAUACUGAAAUAAUACAGAUUCAUUAAGCUGCUUGUAAGAUAGCAAAAAUUACAAAGGCAGAAUUUUAUUUUAGUGAUUUGUUUUAAAAACGGGACUUACUCAUAAACAGGACAAAUUCAGCAAAUAGAUAAAUCCUCUUAUUUUGUCCACAGGGGGCGCCAAAAUCGACUCAACCAGAAAGUUCCUCACAGGAGCUGAAGGCAACCAUGGCCUUCGUGGGGACGGUUGUAGAACACAAAAUUGUAAAUAGGUAAAAAAGAAUAAAAAAAACAAAAACAAAUAAAGUUUCAAAGGCCAAUCAGAUUACCUCAGUCCGGGUUGGUUUUACUAACAAAAUUGUUCCAGCAAUUAGCCAGGACUACUAGCAGAUGCAGAGUGAAGCGAUUCUAAAUGUUACAGUCUAUACAACAAAGUUUUCAAAGAAAUAAUUAAAAAAUGAACAAAGAAUUCAAAUACCUGAAUAGUCAAUUGUGAAUGUGCUCACAAAGAGACAGUCUCACCACAGUGGAAAUAGUACUGGGGUUUAAUUCGGCACAUAAUAUGACAGAUUUUUCAUGUUGCCCUCUCAUAAGUUUCAUUCAUUGACAUCGAGAAGCAAUCGUAAAAGCAAUGAACGGGCUGCAGAUCCAACAAGGGUCAUAUGUCGCCAAGUUAGACCCAUAAAUCAUAUCUUUGUGAUAAUUAUUUCUCAGUAAUAAAAUAUCAGACUUUAAUAAAAUAUUUUAAAAUGACCAAACUUAAGCUGUUUUGCUUUUAUUGUGCAGCACUGAAGCGUACCGCACAGAGCAGUGAAAAAUUAACAAAGGUUCAAGGCAUCAGGUAAUAAUGAAAGGAUAGGGGCAACACUUCAAAGACCACAAGGCCACAUCACACAAUUAUACAAUACAAUUAGGAUUAAAGGGGCAAAAGAGAUAACAGGAGAUAGGGAUAAAUUAUCACAAAAGGAAAGAUGUGACUCUCUCCUGACCUUCAUUAAGAGGAAAAAAAACUCAUUUACAGCCUGCCUUCCUUGCAGGGGGAUUUGAGCCUUUCACAUGAGACUGUGACGCACCAGAUAAGAUUUACAGAGCAUAAAUGAGGGUCUGAACUACACUAAACAAUUACAUCAUAUUUGUUUCCUUAAUAAAACAAUAGCUAAAGAAAAUAAAACAUUAUUAAUGCAAUAAAUUCAUUUUAGUAGAGCAGAGCAGGUUCCUUUUGGGGCCAGUUUGUCAUAGUCUGAAUUCUGAUACUUUUUAAAGACGAAGUCAUCAACAUUGUGGUUAACCUCUGCAGCUGUCUUGUGCCAUUCUUGCACCAAACAGUUUAAAGUUGUUUGACUCUCACAGAUCAUUUCCAUGCUUAGAAAAAAUGAGAGUUUUGCUGGACCUGAGGUGUUCAGAUUGUUUGAUGUAGAGCAGAAAUGGUGGACAUUUUCACAGUGGCCAACAAGCCCAAAUAAUCUUUCAAAGAGCCAUGCUGCAAAUCAAUGAGAGACGCAAAUUAAUAAAUACAUGCAUAAGAUCCAAACAAUACAACUGCACAGGGUUCCAGUUAGCCCAAUGGUGUAAGUGUGCAAGACGUGUAUAGAACCUACGUCCUCACUGCGGCAGAUGCUGGUUCAACUUCCUGUCACAACCCUUUCUAAUAAAGGUACAAUUGUCUGAAAUAUCAGUUUAAAUUUUUGCAAAGGCAGACACAUACUGUAAAUGACAAUAUUGCAAAAAGACAAAAUAGCUGCAAAGAUGCUGUAAAUAAAUAAACAAUGCAAAUCCAGGAAUGCACGAAAACAUAAAAUAUAUACAAAAGAAAAAUGCUGCAUAUCAAGACAUGACAACAGGAGUGUUCCAGGCCUGUGGGGGCAGCACAUGAAAUUGUCUGGUAUCUUCUGCUACUGACAUUAGGGAGAGUGAGGAAAGACAAGGUAGUGAAGUCAUUAUCUGACCACACAGCAGAAGACUCCGCUAGAGUGUAAAGGCUGUGAGGCCUCACUGACUACUGAGCAAAAACACAAUGUACAGUAGAACCCAUGCAAUCUUAGUGAGAACAAGUUUCUGGUAGAAAUAUAGCUACACCAGAGUUAGCACUUUAAAGCAUGGCUUGAAAACUCUCGGUUAACUGUGCAACCGGAACUAUUAGUUGGCUAAACCUUGGUUUAUUGCUGUUUUAUUUAGGGCACCGGUGAUUGUUUUGAUGGUGUCAUUGGAUAAAUUCAUUACCACCUGAAUUUCUCUCCCAGCUGAAGUGGUGUACAAUCUGUGCUUUACCUUCCCCCCAAUGUACCAGUAUUUCAACUUGUUCCACCUCGCCACAAACAACUUGUUGUGGUUGUUAAAGGGGCAUGCCUCCUUCCCUGCUGCUUCUCAAAGUUAUUAUUACAUAACGCAAGUGAGUCUGGCUCUUUCCUUCAACAGUCUCCAAUUUACUAAUAAGUAGGCUAUUGCACAGAUACUACAGCUAUAGUAUGAAGAAAAACAUCCUUUAUUAAUGAUCACUUCAACCAAAUAACAAAAAAUUAUGAGUUGUUUUUAAUGGUAGUACCUAAUGCCUCUAGCAAUAUGGUAAUUAAAUUUUGUUUCAAUAGUAAGAAAAAGGAAAGUAGGGGAGACAGGGCUUGUUGUCACUCUUUUUAUACUCUUGUAUAUUUCUUGGAAUCAAUACAAGUCAUAUAAAAAGUGUACCAGAUGAAAGACCGAGUCGUAAGUAUAUACUGUAUUUUGUUUGUCAUUUUCAUAUCUUGUGUCAGUGAAGAGUUACAAGCAAUCAAAUAGAGAGUGUGAAUAUGUGACAUGUUGCCCCACUACUGGGUAAGUUGUCUCAUUAUUAGGGGUAAGAUGUCACACUGCAACUAACCACCACCUCUGAUCUGUUAAGUGUGGUAAUAACUCUGAUUUAUGGAUGUAUGACACAGGUGGAGGGGAUCUGAUGACAGGACUUACCGCUGGAUAAACAUCAGGCUGGAGGGAGCAGCAAAACUGGCAUAUCUGUCAUUAUUGACCUAUGUUUGUGGGACAGUUCUCAAAUUUGAUGCCACCUCUUCUUUUGAGGUCAAAUGUUCAUAAUGAUGCCUUUGAUACAGUUUACAAGGGAUAAUUGGCUCUUACUAAAGCCUGAAGCUACAGCUGAUAGGUGGAUGUAUUUGUGUGUUAGAGUGUGUGUCAUGUAGGUCCUGUUUUAAUACUAACAAUGGGAAUAGUCUGAUAAUCACUGAUUAUUGCCCAAUAUUCGGCAUUUAGCUGAUUAUCUGUAUCAGCUUUUUAUUGUAUGGAUGGCCCAAAAAAUUACUCUUUAUAAAGUGCGCUAAACUUUGUUUCCACUACCUGUGUUUCUUCCCCUCUGGGUCUGUUUUCACUCCCCACUCCACCUCACCUAAUAAUGUCAUAAUGCUGUCUGAUUGGCUGGGCAUCAAACAACCAAACUGUUGAACAUGCAGUUUUGAUGAAAUAUUUGCUAAAUGCAUGAAACAAAGUUUUGAGAUGGCGCUUGAAAUAUCCCAAAUUAAAAGUUUUGACCGAAUGACUGUUGUUUUUACCGUCAUUGUUCCAGAUAUCAUUUAUCCCCAUGAAUGAAUAAUCAUCAAUAUUGGCCCUUAACAAUCAAUAUCAGUCAACCCCUAACAUACAACACUGACUAUAAGGAGACACAUUAUUUGGAUUGACUGAUUUAGUGUAGUAUAGUGCAGAUGAUUUAUGAUAAUAAAAAUGUGGAAUGUGGGGAAGUACAGCUUGUAGGUCAAGGUGUUCAUGUGGACAAUGUAAAACACAAGAUACAAAAAAACUCACAGUUUCUCUCUUUAAAUGUCUUACCACAGGGCUACAUGUUCCCCCAAACUGAACCCUGAGACACACAACAAAGCUCCAGGAAUCAGGUGAUGAAUUCAAAGCUGAAACUGAACAUCAAUAUUCCACUGUGCCCCUCCUGUACAUCUCACAAUUAUACAAAUCAAUCAACCCUCUCUUCCACCUUUCCUCUUUGUUUGUUUACAGAAUUUGCAUCCAGCAUCAUGAAGAAAGAAAACAUUCAUUGGACAAAGAGCUUCUUGUAAAGUCUGAGCUGGACUGUAGCUGCUAAAGAAUGAAAAAAGCGCGAACUCCAGUGUGAAAUAAUGAAACUGAGUCAGUGAAAGAAUGGGGAAUCUUUUGAAGCCUGACACACUGAUGGAGAGCAGGAAAAAAUACAAUUCAAAAAUCUGUAUCAGUCGAUGAUUAAUUAAUUUUGUUGAAUGAUCUGCUCCAGCCUUGUGAGAUAUCAGUUCCCAUUCCUUUUGCACUUUUAUAGAAGAUCUCAAGAGACUGCUGGUUCAAAAGAUGGUUCAAUUUAGAGUCCCGAUGGAAAAUGGUUUUACAAAAUCUUUUCCUCACGUUUGGCUUUGAUGUGUUUAAACUGUCGUAAUCUUACUGUUCGGAGAUGGAGAAAAUAAAUUCUGUUAAUUUUUCAAUUGUAAAUGCUCCUCUUUUUCUUGACUUCACAUUACAUCUGAAGAGAUUAUCAAAGAAAUAUAUAAUGAAUUGAACUGAGACUUUUGAUGAGCAUUAUAGCACUACCAGUUUUCAUUUUCUACUGUACACAAUAUGAAACUGAUUCAGAAUGGAUUGAUUAGAAAUGUUAAAUGAACUGAAAAUGAACUUCUGUGAAUCAUCCCAGACUCUUGUGUAAAUUAAAACAAUAAACACACUCAAAGAUCA